rnacentral:rRNA from 1 species
UACGUAGGGACCGAGCGUUGUCCGGAUUCAUUGGGCGUAAAGAGCUCGUAGGCGGCUGUUCAAGUCGAACGUGAAAACUCGGAGCUCAACUCCGAGCCUGCGUUCGAUACUGGAUGGCUAGAGUCUGGUAGGGGGAUCUGGAAUUCCACGUGUAGCAGUGAAAUGCGUAGAGAUGUGGAGGAACACCGAUGGCGAAGGCAGCCCCCUGGGCUAACACUGACGCUCAUGCACGAAAGCGUGGGGAGCAAACAGG